GUGUAUGAAGAAGGCCUUCGGGUUGUAAAGUACUUUCGCGGGGAGGAAGGGAGUAAAGUUAAUACCUUUGCUCAUUGACGUUACCCGCAAAAAAAGCACCGGCUAACUCCGUGCCAGCAGCCGCGGUAAUACGGAGGGUGCAAGCGUUAAUCGGAAUUACUGGGCGUAAAGCGCACGCAGGCGGUUUGUUAAGUCAAAUGUGAAAUCCCCGGGCUCAACCUGGGAACUGCAUCUGAUACUGGCAAGCUUGAGUCUCGUAAAGGGGGGUAGAAUUCCAGGUGUAGCGGUGAAAUGCGUAAAGAUCUGGAGGAAUACCGGUGGCGAAGGCGGCCCCCUGGACGAAAACUGACGCUCAGGUGCGAAAGCGUGGGGAGCAAACAGGAUUAAAUACCCUGGUAGUCCACGCCGUAAACGAUGUCGACUUGGAGGUUGUGCCCUUGAGGCGUGGCUUCCGGAGCUAACGCGUUAAGUCGACCGCCUGGGGAGUACGGCCGCAAGGUUAAAACU
rnacentral:rRNA from 1 species